UAAUACGUAGGCAGCGAGCGUUGUUCGGAAUUACUGGGCGUAAAGAGUGUGUAGGCGGUGCUCUAAGUUCGGUGUGAAAUCUCCUGGCUUAACUGGGAGGGUGCGCCGAAAACUGGAGUGCUCGAGCGUGGGAGAGGAAAGCGGAAUUCCUGGUGUAGCGGUGAAAUGCGUAGAUAUCAGGAGGAACACCAGCGGUGUAGACGGCUUUCUGGACCAUUGCUGACGCUGAGACACGAAAGCGUGGGUAGCAAACAGGAUUAGAUACCCUGGUAGUCCACGCCCUAAACGAUGCAUACUUGGUGUCGGCCAUUCAGUUGGUCGGUGCCGGAGCUAACGCGUUAAGUAUGCCGCCUGGGGAGUACGGUCGCAAGGCUG
rnacentral:rRNA from 1 species